rnacentral:rRNA from 1 species
AACGCUGGCGGCAGGCCUAACACAUGCAAGUCGAACGGUAACAGGAAUCAGCUUGCUGAUUCGCUGACGAGUGGCGGACGGGUGAGUAAUGUCUGGGAAACUGCCUGAUGGAGGGGGAUAACUACUGGAAACGGUAGCUAAUACCGCAUAACGUCGCAAGACCAAAGAGGGGGACCUUCGGGCCUCUUGCCAUCGGAUGUGCCCAGAUGGGAUUAGCUAGUAGGUGGGGUAAAGGAUCACCUAGGCGACGAUCCCUAGCUGGUCUGAGAGGAUGACCAGCCACACUGGAACUGAGACACGGUCCAGACUCCUACGGGAGGCAGCAGUGGGGAAUAUUGCACAAUGGGCGCAAGCCUGAUGCAGCCAUGCCGCGUGUAUGAAGAAGGCCUUCGGGUUGUAAAGUACUUUCAGCGGGGAGGAAGGGAGUAAAGUUAAUACCUUUGCUCAUUGACGUUACCCGCAGAAGAAGCACCGGCUAACUCCGUGCCAGCAGCCGCGGUAAUACGGAGGGUGCAAGCGUUAAUCGGAAUUACUGGGCGUAAAGCGCACGCAGGCGGUUUGUUAAGUCAGAUGUGAAAUCCCCGGGCUCAACCUGGGAACUGCAUCUGAUACUGGCAAGCUUGAGUCUCGUAGAGGGGGGUAGAAUUCCAGGUGUAGCGGUGAAAUGCGUAGAGAUCUGGAGGAAUACCGGUGGCGAAGGCGGCCCCCUGGACGAAGACUGACGCUCAGGUGCGAAAGCGUGGGGAGCAAACAGGAUUAGAUACCCUGGUAGUCCACGCCGUAAACGAUGUCGACUUGGAGGUUGUGCCCUUGAGGCGUGGCUUCCGGAGCUAACGCGUUAAGUCGACCGCCUGGGGAGUACGGCCGUAAGGUUAAAACUCAAAUGAAUUGACGGGGGCCCGCACAAGCGGUGGAGCAUGUGGUUUAAUUCGAUGCAACGCGAAGAACCUUACCUGGUCUUGACAUCCACGGAAGUUUUCAGAGAUGAGAAUGUGCCUUCGGGAACCGUGAGACAGGUGCUGCAUGGCUGUCGUCAGCUCGUGUUGUGAAAUGUUGGGUUAAGUCCCGCAACGAGCGCAACCCUUAUCCUUUGUUGCCAGCGGUCCGGCCGGGAACUCAAAGGAGACUGCCAGUGAUAAACUGGAGGAAGGUGGGGAUGACGUCAAGUCAUCAUGGCCCUUACGACCAGGGCUACACACGUGCUACAAUGGCGCAUACAAAGAGAAGCGACCUCGCGAGAGCAAGCGGACCUCAUAAAGUGCGUCGUAGUCCGGAUUGGAGUCUGCAACUCGACUCCAUGAAGUCGGAAUCGCUAGUAAUCGUGGAUCAGAAUGCCACGGUGAAUACGUUCCCGGGCCUUGUACACACCGCCCGUCACACCAUGGGAGUGGGUUGCAAAAGAAGUAGGUAGCUUAACCUUCGGGAGGGCGCUUACCACUUUGUGAUUCAUGACUGGGGUGA